CGAAACCUCGGGGGUUACACCGUACAACUUGCAAAAUUAAUUAGUGCCCGGCUCCGCUUCAACUUUACCGGCUUCAACUUUAUUAAUACCGGCUUCAUUAAUCAAAAUAAUCCGGCCUACCUAUUUAUAACUAAUUACAUAGAAUCCUACUCUAAUUCGAUUUCAUCUUAAUCACAAUUUAAAUAAUAACCAAAUAUAUCUUAACCAUAUAAUAAUAGAUGAGAUCAAAUAAUCUAAUCCUAAUCUCAUUAGCAUUAUCUUU
rnacentral:lncRNA from 1 species